rnacentral:rRNA from 1 species
CGGGAUAACUUCAGGAAACUGGGGCUAAUACCGGAUAGGAAUCCUUGCUGCAUGGUGGGGGUUGGAAAGCUUCGGCGGUUUUGGAUGGACUCGCGGCUUAUCAGCUUGUUGGUGGGGUAGUGGCUUACCAAGGCUUUGACGGGUAGCCGGCCUGAGAGGGCGACCGGCCACAUUGGGACUGAGAUACGGCCCAG